CCUACGGGUGACAGCAGUGGGGAAUAUUGCACAAUGGGGGAAACUCUGAUGCAGCAACGCCGCGUGGAGGAUGAAGGUUUUCGGAUUGUAAACUCCUUUUGUUAGAGAAGAUAAUGACGGUAUCUAACGAAUAAGCACCGGCUAACUCCGUGCCAGCAGCCGCGGUAAUACGGAGGGGGCAAGCGUUACGCGGAAUCACUGGGCGUAAAGAGCGCGGAGGCGGGAUAGCAAGUCAGAUGUGAAAUCCUAUGGCUUAACCAUAGAACUGCAUCUGAAACUGUUAUUCUAGAGUAUGGGAGAGGUAGGUGGAAUUCUAUGUGUAGGGGUAAAAUCCGUAGAGAUCAAGAGGAAUACUCAUUGCGAAGGCGACCUGCUAGAACAUAACUGACGCUGAUGCGCGAAAGCGUGGGGAGCAAACAGGAUUAGAUACCCUUGUAGUC
rnacentral:rRNA from 1 species